UUUAGCUAUUUUUUGUGUUUUCAGACUUGCAUGUUUAAAAGAGUUUUAAAAUGGUCUCUGACGGGUGCUCGCCAGCCGAGGCCGGCGGGGCCGCGAAGCCACGACCCGCCAAAGCAACAAGAGUGGUAGACGUGGGGUUGGAGGUUGGGCCCAGAGGACCCGAACUCGAUAAUGAUCCUUCCGCAGGUUCACCUACGGAAA
rnacentral:misc_RNA from 1 species